UUGGGACUGAGACACGGCCCAAACUCCUACGGGAGGCAGCAGUGGGGAAUAUUGCACAAUGGGGGAAACCCUGAUGCAGCGACGCCGCGUGAGUGAUGAAGUAUUUCGGUAUGUAAAGCUCUAUCAGCAGGGAAGAUAAUGACGGUACCUGACUAAGAAGCACCGGCUAAAUACGUGCCAGCAGCCGCGGUAAUACGUAUGGUGCAAGCGUUAUCCGGAUUUACUGGGUGUAAAGGGUGCGUAGGUGGCAAGGCAAGUCUGAAGUGAAAAUCCGGGGCUCAACCCCGGAACUGCUUUGGAAACUGUUUAGCUGGAGUACAGGAGAGGUAAGUGGAAUUCCUAGUGUAGCGGUGAAAUGCGUAGAUAUUAGGAGGAACACCAGUGGCGAAGGCGACUUACUGGACUGCUACUGACACUGAGGCACGAAAGCGUGGGGAGCAA
rnacentral:rRNA from 1 species